rnacentral:rRNA from 1 species
GACGAACGCUGGCGGCGUGCUUAACACAUGCAAGUCGAACGGAAAGGCCCUGCUUUUGUGGGGUGCUCGAGUGGCGAACGGGUGAGUAACACGUGAGUAACCUGCCCUUGACUUUGGGAUAACUUCAGGAAACUGGGGCUAAUACCGGAUCGGAGCUCCUGCUGCAUGGUGGGGGUUGGAAAGUUUCGGCGGUUGGGGAUGGACUCGCGGCUUAUCAGCUUGUUGGUGGGGUAGUGGCUUACCAAGGCUUUGACGGGUAGCCGGCCUGAGAGGGUGACCGGCCACAUGGGGACUGAGAUAGGGACCAGACUCCUACGGGGGGCAGCAGUGGGGAAUAUUGCACAAUGGGCGGAAGCCUGAGGCAGCAACGCCGCGGGCGGGAUGACGGCCUGCGGGUUAUAAACCGCUUUCGCCUGUGACGAAGCGUGAGUGACGGUAAUGGAUAAAGAAGCACCGGCUAACUACGUG